AGGGUUUGAUCCUGGCUCAGAACGAACGCUGGCGGCGUGUUUUAGGCAUGCAAGUCGAGCGACAAACCUUCCUUCGGGAGGGGAGUAGAGCGGCGAACGGGUGAGUAAGGCGUGGAUAACCUGCCCUGCAGACGGGGAUACAGGUCGGAAACGGCCCACAAUACCCGAUGACACCACGGGACGACUGGUCCGGUGGUCAAGGGGUUGUCACCUUCGGGUGGCUUCCGCUGCUGGAUGGGUUCAUGUGCUAUCAGCUUGUUGGUGAGGUAAUGGCUCACCAAGGCUUUGACGGCUAGGGGGCCUGAGAGGGUGGCCCCCCACACUGGGACUGAGACACUGCCCAGACUCCUACGGGAGGCUGCAGUUAAGAAUCAUUCACAAUGCCCGCAAGGGUGAUGAUGCGACGCCGCGUGGGGGAUGAAGGCCUUCGGGUUGUAAACCCCUGUCAGGGCAACAGAAGGGAAGAGGGGGAAACUCCUCGACCUUGACUGAGCCCAAAGGAAGCCCCGGCUAACUCCGUGCCAGCAGCAGCGGUAAUACGGAGAGGGCGAGCGUUGUUCGGAAUCACUGGGCGUAAAGGGCACGUAGGCGGAUCCGUAUGUCAGGGGUGAAAGCCCCCGGCCCAACCGGGGAACGGCCUCUGAAACUGCGGACCUUGAGUGAAGCAGAGGGGAGUGGAACUCUCGGUGGAGCGGUGAUAUGCGUUGAUAUCGAGGGGAACACCUGCGGCGAAGGCGACUCCCUAUGCUUCUACUGACGCUGAGGUGCGAAAGCCAGGGGAGCGAACGGGAUUAGAUACCCCGGUAGUCCUGGCCCUAAACGGUGGGCACUAGGUAGUGGGAGUUCCGAUGGCUUCCUCUGCCGCAGCUAACGCAGUAAGUGCCCCGCCUGGGUACUACGACCGCAAGGUUAAAACUCAAAGGAAUUGACGGGGCCUCACACAAGCGGUGGAGCAUGUGGCUUAAUUCGAUGCUACGCGAGGAACCUUACCAGGGCUUGACAUGCUGGUGGUACGACCUCGAAAGGGGAAGGACCCUCGUUAGAGGGAGCCAGCACAGGUGCUGCAUGGCUGUCGUCAGCUCGUGUCGUGAGAUGUUGGGUUAAGUCCCAUAACGAGCGAAACCCCUAUCUGCAGUUGCCAGCGGUUCGGCCGGGGACUCUGCGGAGACUGCCGGUGUCAAACCGGAGGAAGGUGGGGAUGACGUCAAGUCCGCAUGGCCCUUAUGCCCUGGGCGGCUCACGUGCUACAAUGGUCGGUACAGAGGGACGCCAACCCGCGGGGGGGAGCAAAUCCCAAAAAGCCGGCCCCAGUUCAGAUUGGAGGCUGCAAUUCGCCUCCAUGAAGGCGGAAUCGCUAGUAAUCGCGCAUCAGCCAUGGCGCGGUGAAUGUGUUCCUGAGGCUUGUACACACCGCCUGUCAAGCCACGAGAGUGGGGGGCACCCGAAGUCAGUGACCCAACCCGAAAGGGAGGGAGCUGCCGAAGGUGAAACCCGCGAUCGGGACUAAGUCAUAACAAGGUA
rnacentral:rRNA from 1 species